AACGUAGGUACCGAGCGUUAUCCGGAUUUACUGGGCGUAAAGCGCGUUCAGGCGGUUUGGCAAGUCGGGCAUGAAAUCUCUCGGCUCAACCGGGAGAGGUUGUCCGAUACUUCCAAACUUGAGGGCAGUAGAGGGUGGUGGAAUUCCGGGUGUAGUGGUGAAAUGCGUAGAUAUCCGGAGGAACACCAGUGGCGAAAGCGGCCACCUGGACUGCACCUGACGCUGACACGCGAAAGCUAGGGGAGCGAACGGG
rnacentral:rRNA from 1 species